rnacentral:rRNA from 1 species
GCGAACGCUGGCGGCAGGCCUAAUACAUGCAAGUCGAGCGCCCGCAAGGGAGCGGCAGACGGGAGAGUAACACGUGGGAACGUACCCUUCAGUUCGGAACAACCAAGGGAAACUUUGGCUAAUACCGGAUACGUCCGAAAGGAGAAAGAUUUAUCGCUGAAGGAUCGGCCCGCGUCUGAUUAGCUAGUUGGUGGGGUAAUGGCCCACCAAGGCGACGAUCAGUAGCUGGUCUGAGAGGAUGAUCAGCCUCACUGGGACUGAGACACGGCCCAGACUCCUACGGGAGGCAGCAGUAGGGAAUAUUGGACAAUGGGGGCAACCCUGAUCCAGCCAUGCCGCGUGAGUGAUGAAGGCCUUAGGGUUGUAAAGCUCUUUUAACGGGGAAGAUAAUGACGGUACCCGUAGAAUAAGCCCCGGCUAACUUCGU